UACAGAGGGGGCAAGCGUUGUUCGGAAUUACUGGGCGUAAGGGGCGCGUAGGCGGCCUGCUAAGUCGAACGUGAAAUCCCUGGGCUCAACCCAGGAACUGCGUCCGAUACUGGUUGGCUUGAAUCCGGGAGAGGGACGUGGAAUUCCAGGUGUAGCGGUGAAAUGCGUAGAUAUCUGGAGGAACACCGGUGGCGAAGGCGACGUCCUGGACCGGUAUUGACGCUGAGGCGCGAAAGCCAGGGGAGCAAACGGG
rnacentral:rRNA from 1 species